ACACCUGGGGGGGAGAACAAGACAGCGAUUUACCAUCCUUCUGCGAUCCUGUCCGUCCGCGCAAGUGUUUAUCCACAACAGGUUUCACCGACCGAGUGCACACCGUGAGCUCAGCACGCUGCGUGUACCCGGCAUGUAGCCCUCGCGACGAGCCUGUGACACGGGACCCUGUUGCGGACGAGGAAACAGCGGGGAGCAGGCUGGAGGUCCUGAGCCCCUCUCCGGAGAAGUCACGUCUGAGCUGGGCUCUGAGCUCACCAGGAUGAAGGGGCGCCGUGUUCCUGACAGAGGGCACGGCUGGGCAACGGCCCAGAGGUGGGGGGCAGCACGGUGUGCGUGGGGCUCCACGGGGAGCUUAGAUUCUCUUUUGGGCCUGGCCCAGGAAGCAGGCCCCGAGCCAGGAAGCCACACUCGGCAGCUGGGGCUCAUCCGGGCUGUGAAGCCGUGAGGCCGGAGGACCUGGGUUUGAAUCCUGGCUCAGGCCUUACUGCCUUGUGACUACAGCCAUCACCUGGGCCACGGAGGAGAUCCAAAAGGGAUUGACUGCCCAGCUCCUCGUGGAUGGGAGUGGCGGCCUUAGUUCGAGCGGGUGCCUUCACGGCUCUCGAGCUUCAGUUUCCUCAUCUGCCUAACAGUUACUAUGACCCCAUCUCGAUGGAUCCCCGGCAGCACCACACAAUAAGCCUCGGCCAGGGUCAGUGUGGACAAGAAGCAUCUGGUCUUUGGAGCCACCUGACCUGGUCUGAAAUCUGGCUCGACUUUUACUCACACAUGACCCGAGUUGAUCCACGGGUUUUGAGUCUCAGUGCCCUAAUCUACAAGAUGGCUGGGGCACCCCCUGGCCCUCUGCUCUGUUCUGAAAACAGGAUGACACAGAGAAGUGACUUAGCACCACGCGGGGCACAGGAAGCUACCGUGUGUCAUUCCGUGACAGGUUCUGUUCUGGGAACCGGGCUUGUUAAAAAUCACUCCUGCGGUUCUGGGCCUGGGGUCAUCGUGCUGGCAUCGCGGACAAAACCAUUUCCUGCUCUCCCCUGCCCUCCUGGCAGGGAGAACCACCAUCCAGGGGCCUGAACCGUCUCCGGGAGAGGAGGGCGGCUGAACAGGCAUUCUCACACGCUGCUGGUGGGGGUGGAAAUUGGAACAUCCUCUCGGGAAAGCAGUUUGGCAGGAAGUACCAGAGGUGUGAAAGCUGUUCACCAGCCUUUGUGGGGCUGUUCCAUGAGGACAUAACCCCAAACACGUGUGGGGUUCCCGCACGACGAGCUUGAAAAAGUUGGGGGAAAACCCAAACGGCCAAUGAGAGGGGAUGGUUAAGUGAAUUACGGCCUACCCCCUACACGGAGUUCGCGGACAGAAAUAAAAAGCCAUCGCCGUGGAAACUGGUAAUCUGGACAGUUUUGCAUGGCAUAAUUUUAAAUGAUAUUGUGAUUAUGCAAAUAAAACCUGUUCACUGCAAAGCAUUUAGAGACAA